AGAGAGAGAAGGAAUCAAGGCCAGGAGACACAGAAAAGAAACAAGGGGGUACCAGAUGGAAGAGAGGUAAUGUCAUGUGAUAGAACAUGGACUAAUAUAAAUGGCUUAAGUUAAGUUAUAAGCGCUAGUUAGGAACAAGCCUAAGCUAUAGGCUGAGCUUUCAUAACUAA